rnacentral:rRNA from 1 species
GACGAACGCUGGCGGCGUGCUUAACACAUGCAAGUCGAACGCUGAACCCGCUUCGGUGGGGGAUGAGUGGCGAACGGGCGAGUAACACGUGGGCAACCUGCCCCCGGCUCUGGGAUAACUCCAAGAAAUUGGGGCUAAUACCGGACGUGACCGCUGGCCGCAUGGUCUGGUGGUGGUAAGGGUUUUCGGCUGGGGAUGGGCCCGCGGCCUAUCAGCUUGUUGGUGGGGUAGUGGCCUACCAAGGCGACGACGGGUAGCCGGCCUGAGAGGGUGACCGGCCACACUGGGACUGAGACACGGCCCAGACUCCUACGGGAGGCAGCAGUGGGGAAUAUUGCGCAAUGGGCGGAAGCCUGACGCAGCGACGCCGCGUGGGGGAUGACGGCCUUCGGGUUGUAAACCUCUUUCGGCAGGGACGAAGCGCGAGUGACGGUACCUGCAGAAGAAGCACCGGCCAACUACGUG